UACGGAGGAUGCAAGCGUUAUCCGGAAUGAUUGGGCGUAAAGCGUCCGCAGGUGGCAGUGUAAGUCUGCUGUCAAAGGUCAGGGCUUAACCCUGAACAGGCAGUGGAAACUACACAGAUAGAGUGCGGUGGGGGCAGAGGGAAUUCCCAGUGUAGCGGUGAAAUGCGUAGAGAUUGGGAAGAACACCGGUGGCGAAAGCGCUCUGCUAGGCCGCAACUGACACUCAUGGACGAAAGCUAGGGGAGCGAAUGGG
rnacentral:rRNA from 1 species